UACGUAGGGGGCAAGCGUUGUCCGGAAUCAUUGGGCGUAAAGAGCGCGUAGGCGGUCCGGUAAGUCCGCUGUGAAAGUCAAGGGCUCAACCCUUGAAUGCCGGUGGAUACUGUCGGGCUUGAGUACGGAAGAGGCGAGUGGAAUUCCUGGUGUAGCGGUGAAAUGCGCAGAUAUCAGGAGGAACACCAAUUGCGAAGGCAGCUCGCUGGGACGGUACUGACGCUGAGACGCGAAAGCGUGGGGAGCAAACAGG
rnacentral:rRNA from 1 species